rnacentral:rRNA from 1 species
AAUCUUCCACAAUGGGCGAAAGCCUGAUGGAGCAACGCCGCGUGAGGGAAGAAGGUCUUCGGACUUGACGGUACCUAAGGAGGAAGCCCCGGCUAACUACGUGCCAGCAGCCGCUGUAAUACGUAGGGGGCAAGCGUUGUCCGGAAUUAUUGGGCGUAAAGGGUGCGGAGGCGGCCUUUUAAGUCAGAUGUGAAAGCCCACGGCUUAACCGUGGGACUGCAUUUGAAACUGGAGGGCUUGAGUAUCGGAGAGGGUAGUGGAAUUCCCAGUGUAGCGGUGGAAUGCGUAGAUAUUGGGAGGAACACCAGUGGCGAAGGCGACUACCUGGACGAAAACUGACGCUGAGGCACGAAAGCUAGGGGAGCAAACA